UACGUAGGGGGGCAAGCGUUGUCCGGAUUUAUUGGGCGUAAAGAGCGUGUAGGCGGCCAGAUAGGUCUGCUGUGAAAACUCGAGGCUCAACCUCGAGCUGUCGGCGGAAACCAUCCGGCUAGAGUCCGGAAGAGGAGAGUGGAAUUCCCGGUGUAGCGGUGAAAUGCGCAGAUAUCGGGAAGAACACCUGUGGCGAAGGCGGCUCGUCUGGGGACGGUACUGACACUGAGGCGCGAAAAGCGUGGGGAGCGAACAGG
rnacentral:rRNA from 1 species